AUUGAACGCUGGCGGCAGGCUUAACACAUGCAAGUCGAACGAGUGGCGGACGGGUGAGUAAUGUCUGGGAAUCUGGCUUAUGGAGGGGGAUAACGACGGGACACUGUCGCUAAUACCGCAUACCAUCGGAUGUGCCCAAAUGGGAUUAGGUAGUUGGUGGGGUAAUGGCCCACCUAGGCGACGAUCCCUAGCUGGUCUGAGAGGAUGACCAGCCAAACGGGAACUGAGACACGGCCCGGACUCCUACGGGAGGCAGUAGGGGGGAAUAUUGCACAAUGGGGGCAAGCCUGACGCAGCCAUGUCGCGUGAAUGAAGAAGGCCUUCGGGUUGUAAAGUACUUUCAGUGAGGAGGCGUUAAUCGCAGAAGAAGCACCGGCUAACUCCGUGCCAGCAGCCGCGGUAAUAC
rnacentral:rRNA from 1 species